ensembl:miRNA
AGUGGUUGGUUCCUAGUAGGUGUUCAGUAAGUGUUUGUGACAUAAUUCGUUUAUUGAGCACCUCCUAUCA